GAGUUUGAUCCUGGCUCAGAUUGAACGCUGGCGGCAUGCCUUACACAUGCAAGUCGAGCGGCAGCGCGGGGGCAACCCUGGCGGCGAGCGGCGAACGGGUGAGUAAUACAUCGGAACGUGUCCAGUAGUGGGGGAUAACCAGUCGAAAGAUUGGCUAACACCGCAUACGAUCUACGGAUGAAAGCGGGGGACCGCAAGGCCUCGCGCUAUUGGAGCGGCCGAUGUCGGAUUAGCUAGUUGGCGGGGAAAAAGCCCACCAAGGCGACGAUCCGUAGCUGGUCUGAGAGGACGAUCAGCCACACUGGAACUGAGACACGGUCCAGACUCCUACGGGAGGCAGCAGUGGGGAAUUUUGGACAAUGGGCGCAAGCCUGAUCCAGCCAUGCCGCGUGAGUGAAGAAGGCCUUCGGGUUGUAAAGCUCUUUCAGCGGGGACGAAAUGGUUCGUGCCAACACCACGAACUGAUGACGGUACUCGCAGAAGAAGCACCGGCUAAUUACGUGCCUUCAGCUGCGGGAAUACGUAGGGUGCAGGC
rnacentral:rRNA from 1 species